rnacentral:lncRNA from 1 species
CAAAUAUCAGUACAAAGCUAACUGGGACCCUUGGUGACCCAAGGUAACUCGGGGUGACAUUUCAUUUUGCUGGAAGAAGAAUAUGUGUUUAACAUGUAUGAUAGUUCUGAACGAAGAUUGAAGCUGUUCUGUAGUUCUGAGGGUUAUCAUACCACUGAGAGUAAAAGCAGGAGUCCACUGGGCAUGGUGUCAUGUGCCUAUAAUCC